rnacentral:rRNA from 1 species
CCUACGGGUGGCUGCAGUGGGGGAUAUUGCACAAUGGGGGAAAGCCUGAUGCAGCGACGCCGCGUGUGGGAAGACGGUCCUCUGGAUUGUAAACUACUGUUCUCAGGGACGAAGAUGACGGUACCGGGGGAGGAUGCGCCGGCUAACUACGUGCCGGCAGCCGCGGUAAUAGGUAGGGAGCGAGCGUUGUCCGGAAUUACUGGGUGUAAAGGGAGCGUAGGCGGGACUGGAAGUUGGGUGUAAAGUCUUCCGGCUCAACCGGUAGCCGCACUCGAAACUGGAGCUCUUGAGUGAAGUAGAGGCAGGCGGAAUUCCUGGUGUAGCGGUGAAAUGUGUAGAUAUUAGGAGGAACACCAGUGGCGAAGGCGGCCUGCUGGGCUUUUACUGACGCUGAGGCUCGAAAGUGUGGGGAGCAAACAGGAUUAGAUACCCGAGUAGUC